CUGGCUGUUCAUGGUCCUUAUUUACCUCGACCCUAGUUGCGUCCUGUGUUUAUGAAACCCGCGAAGUGGAGUUCAACAGGCGGGAAACCCUCUUUUGAAUCUACAGCAAUCCCCCACUGUUUUCAAAACCCUAAUUCCACUUCCACCCACUGUUUCUCUUCAUCCUGUAUAAAAUAGCUGUUUUUUCGUCGAGUCUCAGUAAUUAAUUUUUUUUUAUGGCGACAACGAUUACAAAGAACAGCAAUCCUGUUGAUGCCAAAGAGGAUAGUGAAAUCGACGACAGGGAGAUGGAUGUCGAGGCUGCUGUUGAUGACCAGGAACGAUGUCGCGUUGGUGGUGUUGUUGACUGUGAACCUUCGUCUUUGCCUUCUUCUCAUACACUGUCUCUCAACCACGAAAAAGUAGUAGAAACCAAUAUUAUGUCUUUAUGUCCGGCGACAACGAUUACAAAGAACGGGAAUCUUGUUGUGGCCGAAGAUGGUGGAAACGUCAAUGACUUGUUGAUGGAUAUUGAGGAUGCUGUUGAUGAUCAAGAACGAUGUUGUGCCGGUGUUGAUGUUAGCGGUGUACCUUCGUCUUUGCCUUCUUCUCACACACUGCCUCUCAAUCACGAAAAAGUAGAACAUAAUACUAUUUCUUCAUGUUCUGAUGUUGAACAUAGCACGAAGGGACUCUUGGCUGAAGGGAUAGAAAACCAAGAAACAAAAACGGAACGAUCUGAUUCCAUUAAUGGUGAUGGGGGUGAAGAACAAAACGGUAUUUAUGAAUCUGAGCGGAAAGUGGGUCUUCGGAAGAAGAGAGGUUGGCCAAGAGGUAGGAAAAGAGGUCCGAAAAGGGACAACGAGAACAGUAAUACUGCUACUAAAUCUCAAGAGAAGAACAUUAAACCACGUGGUCGUCCCAAGCAGGCUGUUACUACGGAAGACGUAAGGAAGAUGACGAGUGGUGUUGUGAAGUCAAGUGAUGAUGAUAACAAGUCCCCAGAAGAAACAGAAGAAGUUAUGGCUGAUGCUCAAAUUGUUCUUGCUGCUCCUGAUCGAGAGGAAAAUGUUACCACCGAAAUAGUAAACAACAAAGAGGACAAAAUAGAUAGCGGGAGGCCCAAAAGAAGUAGCACGAAAAACAAAAUUAACUAUGCAAUUUUCGAAUAUGAUUUUGAUGAUGAAGAGGAUGUAAGGAAGAAGAUACACCAGCUAUCUUUUCCAAAGAAAAAAAAGAGCGGUGAAGAGGAACAAGAUAAAGAUAAUGGUGAUGGACGUAUAGAACAAAAUGGGGGUACUAAAUCUGAAGCAGAGGGGAAGGAGGGUGUUCAGAAUAAAGGCAGGAAAAGAGGUCGGAAAGCGAAGAAUGAGAACACUGGUAUUGCUACUAAAUCUCCAGAGAAGAAGAUUAAACCACGUAAGAAACUCUGUGUUUCUGCAAAAGAAGCAAGGGAGAUGACUAGUGGUGUUGUGAGGUCAAGUGAUGAUGGGAACAAGUCAUCAGAAGAAACAGAAGAAGGUAUGGUUGAUGCUGAAACUGCAAUUGCUACUUCUGAUAGAGAGGGAAACGUUACCAAUGAAGUAAUAAUAAACAGUAAAGAUGUAAAAAAAGAGAGUGGGAGGUCCCAAAGACGUACUAGGAAGGUUGAUAUCAGUUAUGGUGAGAUUUUGAAACUAAAUAAGGGAAGCCAGAAAGCUUCUAAGAAAGAAAAUACGAGUGAAGGGGAACAAGAUAAGAGAACCCAAAAAGCUUCAAGCUCAGGCAAGAAGGAUGGUUCAGGGCCAAAGUGGUAUGCAAAGCACAAGGUUCCAGAUGAAAAUGGAAAUCUAGUUCUCGUACCAUCAGUAAUGUGUCAUCAGUGUCAAAGGAACGACAAGGGACGAGUUGUUAGGUGCCAGAAAUGCACUACAAAGCGUUACUGUGUGCCUUGCAUGACAAGAUGGUAUCCUAAUAUGACAGAGGAAAUGUUUGCUGAGUGUUGCCCUGUUUGCUUAGACAAGUGCAACUGUAAAUCUUGCUUGCGUGAUGUGCGCCCUAAAGUUAAAGAUAAGAUCAAUUUCAAACCUAAUGAUGAUCAGAAAAUCCGGUAUUCUGUUUAUAUCCUACAUGUGCUUCUUCCAUUCUUGAAGCGUCUCAAUGAGGAGCACAUAAAGGAGAAAGCGAUUGAGUCUGAAAUUCGAGGUUGUUUUUUAUCAGAGCUACAUUUGAAGAAGGCAAAGUGCAGUCAAGAUGAGCGAAUGUACUGUGACUGCUGUAAAACAUCAAUUUUUGACUUGCAUAGAAGCUGCCCUUCUUGUCAAUAUGACCUCUGCCUUCAAUGUUGCUGGGAAUUGCGAGAUGGCAACCCUAAGGGAAACACAGAAGAGGUUAUCCUUGAAUUUAAAGAUCCAGGUCUAGAUUACUUACAUGGGGGGAAGGAGUCUGUUGGUGAGUCUAAGAACAAGAGGGAUACAAGGAAUGUGGUCAGUAAUUUUGUGAAUGCUGCACCAAAGGAAAAGCAAAGUCAUGAAUGGAAGUCUUUGGAUGAUGGCAGAAUCCCUUGUCCUCCAGAAAGUAUGGGUGGUUGUGGUUGUGGGAUUUUAGAGUUGAUGCACAUAAAGCCACUGGAUACUGUUUCAAAAUUGUUGGAGAAAGCACAAGAGCUCUUAAAGAUGCACAAACUGGAGGAAGAUAUGAGGGAUAUGCCUGAGAAAUGGUGCACAUGUUCUUCAAAUGGUGGUGAUCAGCAGUUACGAAAAGCUGCUUCUCGUGAAAAUUCAAAUGACAAUUACUUGUAUUGUCCACGUGCUAUUGACAUUAAACCUGGAGAUUUAAAGCAUUUUCAGUGGCAUUGGUCAAAAGGGGAGCCUGUAAUUGUCAGCAAUGCUCUUGAAACUACACUCGGGUUGAGCUGGGAACCCAUGGUUAUGUGGCGUGCUUUUCGCCAGAUUUCAAAUCUCAAUCAUGAUCAGCUCUUGGAUGUAGCUGCUCUUAAUUGUUUGGAUUGGUGUGAGGUUGAUAUAAAUGUUCGUAACUUUUUUAAUUGGUAUACAGAAGGUCAAUAUGAUGAAGUUGGGUGGCCUAAGAUCCUAAAGUUGAAAGAUUGGCCUCCAUCAAGUUUAUUUGAUGAACGGUUGCCACGUCAUGGUGUUGAGUUUAUCACUUGCUUACCCUUCAAGGAAUACACACAUCCACGUGAUGGAUACCUUAAUCUUGCAGUGAAGUUGCCUCCAAAAUCUUGUAAGCCAGACAUGGGUCCUAAAACAUAUAUAGCUUAUGGUGUUCAUCAAGAACUGGGACGUGGAGACUCUGUCACUAAACUUCAUUGUGACAUGUCUGAUGCGGUGAAUGUGUUGACUCAUACUGCAGAUGUGACCCCUGACCUUGAACAUCGUAAAUUGAUAAAGGAGUUGAAGAAGCUGCACAAGGCUCAGGAUGAUAAGGAACUAUUUGGACUGGCAGUGAGGACACAGCCUGAUGUUGAUAACACGAAAGCUACUACUGAGAAAUUAAAUAAAUUGAAAGAAAAAAGAAGGCGCCUAGUUAAAAAACUUGCUGAAUCUAAAGUUGGAAAAAACACGAGUGAUGACAAUGUGGAAGAAACAAGCGACCAUGUUAACAGUGGAGGCAAGCGAAAAAGUGGGCAUGAAACAGAUUCUUGUCUUGGGACAAGUACUAGUGAUCAAUCAGAUGAAUGUGCAUUGAAGGUGGAAAGUUGUGAAGAAGCUGUGUCUGACACUGGGAAGAGAAAAGCUUCCAUGAAAAAGGAUGAGGGACAAAGUGGAAAUAAAGGAUCUAAAAAGAGGGGCAGGAAAGAAGUGAUAUCCUCUGAUAGUAAAGAAAAUAGCAAUAAUGAGGAAACAGAAGCUCUUGAAGAACUUGAUAACCUUGAUGAUAUUUCAGGUAGUUGUGUGGAUGGAUUUGAUUUGGGAGAUGGAGGUGCUCUGUGGGACAUAUUUAGGAGGGAAGAUUCGCCUAAACUUGAGGAAUAUCUCAGAAAACACUUUAAAGAGUUUAGACAUAUCUUUUGUCGACCAGUGGAGCAGGUUAUCCACCCAAUUCAUGACCAAACAUUUUACUUAACCAUGGAACAUAAAAGGAAGCUUAAGGAAGAGUUUGGAAUUGAAGCAUGGACUUUUGUCCAGAAGCUUGGAGAUGCUGUAUUUAUACCUGCUGGUUGUGCCCAUCAAGUUAGAAAUUUGAAGUCAUGUAUAAAAGUUGCACUGGACUUUGUUUCUCCUGAAAAUGUUGGUGAAUGCAUCCAAUUGACAGAGGAUUUCCGUGUUCUUCCUCAAAAUCAUAGGGCUAAAGAAGAUAAGUUGGAGGUGAAGAAAAUGGCACUUCAUGCAGUGGAGGCAGCUGUAAUGGACUUGGAAAAACUCAUCCCCAAAGAGGAAUCUAAACCUGAAUCUGAAUCUGAGGAAUAGGUGGAUGCAACACACAAGGGAGAGAAUUGUUCAGGAAGAAUUUGACUUGCACUCAUUGCAAGAAACUUGGUCACACAAAGUCUUAAUGUUAUAGACAUCAUAGACUUCACACUAGGGAUGAGCAAAAUAACUGUUGGAAUUGAAGCGGAACUGGAACCGCAUGCGAAUUGAUUAUGCAAUUCGGUUUGGUUUUUGGUCGCCCAAAACCUGAAAAUCGGUUUCGGUUUCAGUUAUUGUGUGUAUGGAGUUCUUGGGUAUCGAUAUUUUCGGUGCUUGGGUGAAGGGUUGAUUAAGCCCGUAAGGGGAACAAAAAGUGCCCGGAUUCCCGCUUCUGUCGAUAAAUCCAAUAUAGCAUUCAAGUUGACUUUGUUCAAGUUUUAUGAUGCCUAUUCAUUCAUGAAGAUUAGGGGUGAGCAUGGAUAGCGGGUACUUGUUUUUGGAACUGGAACCCCCUCGAACAGUCGGUUUUGGAACCGGAACCGAGGUCACUAGCUAGUUCCUAAAAGUGGGAACCGCCAAAGACGGGUUUUGGUUUUGUUUCCAUCUUUUAGGAACCGUUACCCUUUGGACUCGGUUCCAAAAUAUUAAAAUUUAAAAAUACUUGAUACUUAAACAAAUUGGUCUUAACAACGUUGAUGACUAAGACAAUUUUUAGGAGGAUCUAAUUGGAUAUUGGAGGUAACAUUCUAAUUAGUCAUAUUUGCAACUUUUUUUUUUCCAAAACAAACAGUCUAAUGUGAAUGUGUAUGUCCGAAAAUAAAACAAUUUGAACAUAAGUGAUGAUAAUAUCUUUUGCAAAGAUAUCAUGUUAAAUAACAUUAAUAGGUUGAUGGUAAGAACAUGAAUUUUGGUUUAUGACUUAUAUUUAGCAACUUGGAUUAUCUUUUAAAACAAUUAUUUUUGUCGUUUGUAACUUGUAUCGUAAUGAACUAGUUAUAGUAUUUACUUUUUCUUUCAAUGAAGAAUCAUUUUGUAUUAACGAAUCUAAAAAUAUGACGUAAGGGUGUUACUCGGUCCUGGAGCUUGGAGCUAGAACCACUAGUCUGGUUCUGGUUCUGAUUCUAACUUCAUAGGAACCGCUUGUUCUGUUUCCGACAAA